ACUCUAUAUUCAUGAUUUGACUUACAAAUCUUCGUGCACAUAAGUGUGAAUUGGUUUCUCCACACAUAUAGUGACACAAAGGUGUGGAGCAAGAAAGAGGGUUAUUGCCCCAUUUUAGGUGGCCAAUAUGUUCCCUAAUCAAAAUGCGAUCAGUAUAUGGCUGAUGCUUACAUGAUGUCAGUUGCAUGGCCGUACAAGAAACUGAAGUUGGUGCAUAAGGCUGCAACACCGUCUAGUGGAGGGUGUUCUGGACAAAGAAAGCUUGUACCUUAAAAUAGGAGGAUACAAGAAGCUAGAGUGGUUGUCUGAAGGCUUUUGAACUGCUUGAAGCAUUAGUGUAGCUUUGGUGCUUUUGUGACUGAUCAGCUCUGGAGCAG